rnacentral:rRNA from 1 species
UUCCGCCUAUUAUUUUACUUUUAUUAUGUUGGUGUAUAUCUGAUUUAAUAUUAUUGCUUAAUGGUUUAAGUUUGUGUAUAUUUAUUUAAGUCAAGUCUAUGUGCUGCUUAUAAAAGUAUUCAUGCGUUACUUUAAUAAUAUGUUGGUUGAAAUAUUAAUUAAUUUAGGACUUAAUAGUAAUAUUUAAUUAAUUUGUAGAUGUGAAUAUAGUUUAGCUCAUGU